rnacentral:rRNA from 1 species
GAACGCUGGCGGCGUGCUUUACACAUGCAAGUCGAGCGGCAGCACGACCUUCGGGUUGGUGGCGAGCGGCGAACGGGUGAGUAAUACAUCGGAACGUACCUUUUAGUGGGGGAUAACGCAUCGAAAGAUGUGCUAAUACCGCAUAAUCUCUGAGGAGGAAAGGCGGGGACCUUCGGGCCUGUCGCUGAAAGAGCGGCCGAUGGCUGAUUAGCUAGUUGGUAGGGUAAAGGCCUACCAAGGCGAUGAUCAGUAGCUGUUCUGAGAGGAAGAUCAGCCACACUGGGACUGAGACACGGCCCAGACUCCUACGGGAGGCAGCAGUGGGGAAUUUUGGACAAUGGGGGGAACCCUGAUCCAGCAACGCCGCGUGAAUGAAGAAGGCCUUCGGGUUGUAAAGUUCUUUUGUCAGGGAGCAAAGGUUUGGUGCUAAUAUCACUAAACGCUGAGAGUACCUGAAGAAUAAGCACCGGCUAACUACGUGCCAGCAGCCGCGGUAAUACGUAGGGUGCAAGCGUUAAUCGGAAUUACUGGGCGUAAAGCGUGCGCAGGCGGAUGAUUAAGUUAGGAGUGAAAUCCCCGGGCUCAACCUGGGAACUGCUUUUAAGACUGGUCAUCUAGAGUUUGUCAGAGGGGGGUGGAAUUCCAAGUGUAGCAGUGAAAUGCGUAGAGAUUUGGAGGAACACCGAUGGCGAAGGCAGCCCCCUGGGAUAAAACUGACGCUCAUGCACGAAAGCGUGGGUAGCAAACAGGAUUAGAUACCCUGGUAAUCCACGCCCUAAACGAUGUUUA